GCGCCUUUAGCUCAGUCGGUAGAGCAUCGGACUUUUAAUCCGUUGGUCGAGGGUUCGAGCCCCUCAGGGCGCACUA
rnacentral:tRNA from 1 species